CGCGGCCGCGUCUCCACCCCAAGGAGGGAGUACGGUUUAUUGGACUCGGCGGCAGCCGCGCUCCCCUGAAUCUCGAAAUGCCUGUUAAAAGAUCACUGAAAUUAGAAGAUCUGAUAGAAAAUUCAUUUGAGCCUUCAAACAUCCAGAAGAAAAAAAGUCUUUCAAAUUUUUCUCCAACAACUGGGACCUGGCAAAUAAGCCCAUUUGCUUCUCCCACAAGGUCUGAAAAACAAGAACACAGAAGUGGGUCUUCAAAUGGAAAGAGGGGGAAAGCAAAUUACCUCAAUUCCAGGUUAACUAGAAGAAAGAAGUCUACAUCAAACGACAAAUUCAUGAUGUUAAUAUCUGAAGUUGAGAAAUCAUCAGAAAGUAUCGUGGAAAUGAUGCAGAAUUUAAGCAGUAUAAAGGCUCUGGAAAGCAGGAAAGAACUUGAAAGCCUCAUUGGUAUAUCCUGUGCAUCGUGUUUCUUACAAAGAGAAAUGCAGAAAACCAAAGAGCUAAUGACAAAGGCAACAGAACAAAAGCUGUUUGAGCAGCAGCGUGCAGGACUUCCUCAAAAAGGACUCCGUCACCGUGACAGCUAUGAGUUCCUGAGAGCCAGCCUGCAGCGAGCGAGGUGCUGUUCCCAUUCGGACUAGGUCGAGCCUGGUGGAAGUCCCGUGUUGUGUUCAGAUAAAUAUAAUCUUAAGAUGGCCAACACGCGUGCUCCACGUAUCCCAUUUAAUCUGCCCGUCAGUUCAUAUGAGGUAGAGGUAGCAGCUGUCUGAUUGCAUAGGUGAAAAGGGGCUGAGGCUCCCAAAGGCAUUUAGAAGAAAGGCACUCACUGUGAGCACCAACUUCUGCAUUUGCCUGACCAUAUUUAAAGGAACCAAAGAAAUGUUGGCAAUUAAUCUACCCAGUACAUACCAGAUCAUAGCAGUUGGCAGGUGCAUGUCUAGAUAAAAUUUCUUGCAGCUAAUUUAAACUUUCUACACACAGCGAUAGAUAAUCUCAAUGUAAAUAAUACAUUUCUUCUUGACCCUUUAAUGUAAGUCACCAUGUACAGGAGGAUCUUGACUUAUAUUCUGUAUUGCGUACGUGUUUAUGUGCGUAAUUUGUGGAUGAACUUAAUAAAGCAUUUUUGAAAAUGG